UACGGGGGGGGUAAGCGUUGUUCGGAAUUACUGGGCGUAAAGGGCUCGUAGGCGGCCAACUAAGUCAGACGUGAAAUCCCUCAGCUUAACUGGGGAACUGCGUCUGAUACUGGAUGGCUUGGAUUCGGGAGAGGAAUGCGGAAUUCCAGGUGUAGCGGUGAAAUGCGUAGAGAUGUGGAGGAACACCGAUGGCGAAGGCAGCCUCCUGGGCCAGCACUGACGCUCAUGCACGAAAGCGUGGGGAGCAAACAGG
rnacentral:rRNA from 1 species